AUACGUAGGUGACAAGCGUUAUCCGGAUUUACUGGGCGUAAAGGGCGUGUAGGCGGUCUUGCAAGUCAGAAGUGAAAUUCCUGAGCUCAACUCGGGCGCUGCUUCUGAAACUGCAGGACUUGAGUGCUGGAGGGGAUAGCGGAAUUCCUAGUGGAGCGGUAAAAUGCGCAGAUAAUAGGAAGAACAUCGGUGGCGAAGGCGGCUAUCUGGACAGUAACUGACGCUGAGGCGCGAAAGCGUGGGGAGCAAACAGGAUUAGAUACCCUGGUAGUCCACGCUGUAAACGAUGAAUACUAGGUGUAGGGGGUAUCGACUCCCUCUGUGCCGCAGUUAACACAAUAAGUAUUCCGCCUGGGGAGUACGGCCGCAAGGUUGAAACUCAAAUGAAUUGACGGGG
rnacentral:rRNA from 1 species